rnacentral:rRNA from 1 species
AAAGAGGGGGACCUUCGGGCCUCAAUUGCCAUGACGGAUGUGCCCAGAUGCGGAUUAGCUUGUUGGUGGGGUAACGGCUCACCAAGGCGACGAUCCCUAGCUGGUCUGAGAGGAUGACCAGCCACACUGGAACUGAGACACGGUCCAGACUCCUACGGGAGGCAGCAGUGGGGAAUAUUGCACACAUGGGCUGCAAGCCUGAUGUCAGCCAUGCCGCGUGUAUGAAGAAGGCCUUCGGGUUGUAAAGUACUUUCAGCGGGGAGGAAGGGAGUAAAGUUAAUACCUUUGCUCAUUGACGUUACCCGCAGAAGAACGCACCGGCUAACUGCCAGUGCCAGCAGCCGCGGUAAUACGGAGGGUGCAAGACGUUAAUCGGAAUUACUGGGCGUAAAGCGCACGCAGGCGGUUUGUUAAGUCAGAUGUGAAAUCCCCGGGCUCAACCUGGGAACUGCAUCUGAUACUGGCAAGCUUGAGUCUCGUAGAGGGGGGUAGAAUUCCAGGUGUAGCGGUGAAAUGCGUAGAGAUCUGGAGGAAUACCGGUGGCGAAGGCGGCCCCCUGGACGAAGACUGACGCUCAGGUGCGAAAGCGUGGGGAGCAAACAGGAUUAGAUACCCUGGUAG